UUUUUUUUUUUUUUGUGUUGAUUUCUUGAUCUUUCUAACCAUCUUCUUGGAAAUCUUUGAAGCUUUCGACUAGGAAACACCACUUCCAAGUGUUCUUUUAGUUUCGUCUUUCUCCAAAGACUGUACCUAAGGCCUGCAAAACUUCCCUCUUUUUGUUAUUUCUUGGUCCCUGGUUUCUUACUCUCUCUCUCUCUUCUUUUGCUUCCGUUUCAGUUCAACAUGUCUUUUCUUUAGCGUGGGUGGAUUUUUUUUUUUUAAUCUUUGAUGCACCUUUAACUAUCUUUCUGGAAAUCUCGAAACCUUCCAACGAGGAAACAUCACUGCUGAGCUUAUCUUUUUACUUCAUCCUCCUUUCUUUAAAUAUGUUCCAAAGAUUGCAUGAGAGAGCCUGCAAAACUUUUCUCCUUUUUUUUUUUUUGAUAUUUCUGUGUCCCUGGUUUCUCACUCUCUCUCUUUUCCUCUUCUUUUUCAGCUCAAGAUGUCUUUUCUUUGGGUGUGUGUGUGUGGAUUUCUUGAUCUUUGGUGUUUGGUGUAUCUUUAACACCAUCCUUUUGGAAAUCUUUGAAACUUCCAACUGGGAGAACACCAUUGGGUAAUUUUUGUUUUCAGUUCUUUACCCUUUGUUUUUCCUAUAAUUCUUGAUCCUUGUUUGAUGUAGCUACAACUUAGUUUAUUUUGGGAAAUGCUUCAGUGAGAUCUUUGUGAUUUAUUAUGAACAACAAAGAAUGGGUCAAUCUAAGAUGAUGAACUAGUUGUUGGAAGUAAACUUGUUCAAGUAUCCUAAAGAGGUUCAUUUCAUCAAAAGAAAGAUUCAUUGUAUCAAGAGAGAUUCAUUACAUCAAGAAGAAAAAAUAAAUUAAAAAUCUAUAAAAGGAUAAGUCAAAUUGGUUAUUGGUUCUUGAAAGAGUUUCUUGAAAGAGAAUGAUUCAUCUUGAAUAUAAUUAAUGUAAUGUAUCUUUGGGGACUAUAUAAACCUCAUAUGUUAGGUCAUGAGAGAAAGAGAGAGUUUCUGAAAUUGUAAAGUGUUUUUUUUAAGAAAAAUAUAGAAGAUUGAAGCUUGUCCUACUCUUUUUCUGUUUGAUAACUCCAUCUCCUCUUCCUAUCAACAUUAACAUUUGGUAUCAGAGCAUAGGUUAAGUUAUGACCUCUUUAUCAAGUGUCAUCCAACUCCAGAUCUCCAGAUUGAUAAAAGAAAAUUAUGACAUAUGGUGCAUCCAAAUGAAGGUUUUUCUAGGCUCCCAAGAUGUAUGGGAGUUUGUAGAAGAUAGAUUUGCUGAACCAAGUCCAGCAGAAGAAGGAGCAAUGAGUGUAGAAGGAAGAAAACAACUCAAAGAAAGAAGGAAGAAGAAGAAAAAAAGCUUUGUUCACAAUCUACCAAGGGCUUGAUGAUACAAUAUUCGAGAUCAUCGCUCCAACAAAUACUUCAAAGGAGGCCUGGAAAAUGCUUCAAAAAGCAUUCGGUGGUGUUGAUAAGGUAAAGAAACUUCGUCUACAAAUUUUAUGAGUCGAGUUUAAAAAAUUACAACAAGGUACUUCUGAAACUAUUUUUGAUUACUUCUCAAAAAUCAUUUCUAUUGUUCAUCAAAUAAGAUGAAAUGAUGAACAAGUAAAAGAUCAGAGAGUAAUAGAAAAAAUAUUGAGAUCUCUAGAUCCGAAAUUUGAUUUUAUUGCUGUUGCGAUCGAAGAAUCUAAAGAUUUGGAAAAAAUGUCUUUAGAAGAACUUAUGGGUUCCUUUCAAGUUCAUGAACAAAGAAUUACAAAAAAAAGGAGAAGACAAAACUAUGAAGUAGGCACUACAAGCUAAGUUUGCUCUUGAAAAUAAAGGAGAAUCAAAUUCUCAAAGAGGAAGAGGACUAGGACAAAGAGGAAGAGGAGGCAGAAAUCAAACAAAUAAAGAAUCUCCAAAUAAUGAAGAUGCUAGAGAAAAUUCUAGCCAAAGAGGUCGAGGUUAUGGCCGAGGCCGUGGACGUGAUAGAAACUUUAAAAGGUCUGAAAUACAAUGCUAUGUUUGUAAAAGGUAUGAACAUUACUCUUAUGAAUGUUAUUAUAAUCCUAACAAUCAAGGUGAUAAGGUAAAUUUUGUUGAGGAAGAAAAAAACGAAAAUCAAGUUUUGCUAAUGAGUUAUGAUAAUUUGAAAGAGGAUCAGUCUAUGAUAUGAUUUCUAGAUACAGGAGCCUCAAAUCACAUGUGUGGCAUGAAAGAGUUAUUUUCAGAAAUGGAUACAAGUUAUUCCGGGAACAUUACAUUUGGUGAUUUGUCUCAAAGACCAGCAAGAGGCAAAGGUAAAAUUCUCCUUGAACUUAAUAAUGGCAAGGAAUUAUGCAUUUCAGAUGUUUAUUAUGUUCUUGAUAUGAAAAAUAAUAUUCUAAGCUUGGGACAAUUACUUGAAAAAGGUUAUGAUGUUGAGAUGAAAGAUAUGACUCUCUUAAUUCGUGACAAGAAUAAAACAUUAAUAUCAUAUGUGAAAAUGACAAAGAAUAGAAUGUUUCCUCUACAUUUAAGUAUUUUUGAUCAAUCAAAUUGUUUUAAAGCUGAUAUUGAGGAUAUUUCUAUAUUUUGACAUCUUAGAUAUGCUCACUUAAAUUUUGAGGCUUUGAAACUUGUAGAGAAGUAUAAUAUGGUGAUAGGAAUGCCAAAAAUUGAUCGCCCAACAAAAUUGUGUGAAGUGUGUGUCAUGAGUAAGCAAGAAAGAAAACCUUUCAAAGUGAGGACAAAAAGAGCAUGAAAUUGACUUGAUCUGGUGCACUCAGAUGUUUGUGGCCCUAUCAAUCCAGUAUCACUUGGAGGAAGCAGGUAUUUUCUUACCUUCACUGAUGAUCAUAGUGGAAAAACUUGGGUUUAUAUGUUAAAAGAAAAGAAAGAAGUUUUAAGUAAAUUCAAAGAAUUUAAGGAUUUGGUUAAAAGACAAAGUUGUUGUAAGAUUAAAUGUUUAAGAACAGAUAGGGGUGGUGAAUAUAUAUCAAAUGAAUUUGAAAGUUUUUGUAGAAAUCAUGAAAUUUUAUAUCAAUUCAUCAUGCCAUAUACACCUCAACAAAAUGGUGUCUCAAAAAGGAAAAAUAGGACUAUCCUUAAUAUGGUCCGAUGCAUGUUAAAGGAAAGAAAAAUUCCUAAAGAAUUUUGGGGUGAUGUUGUUGCUUGUGCAGUUUAUUUGCUUAACAGGUUUCCGACAAAGCGGAUUAGUAAUGUGACACCAGAAGAAGCAUGGAGCUUACAAAAACCAAGAGUUGAUCAUUUGAAGAUUUUUGGAAGUGUUACAUUUGCUAAGAUACUAGAAGAAAAGAGAACAAAAUUGGAGGAUAAAAGUCAGAAAUGCAUUUUGCUAGGUUAUCCAGAGAAUUCCAGUGGUUACAAACUCUACAAUCCUAUUACAAAUAAAGUUGUGAUGUCAAGAGAUGUUGAGUUUGAUAAACAACAGAUUUGGAACUGGAAAAGUGAUGAGUAGCAUAAGAAAGCUAUAGUUGAAGAAGAAGAUAUAAUACAAGCAAGCACCGAAAUAGCUUUGCCGGAAUCAUUACCUAGAUCAGUUAGGUCGCAUGAUUCAAGAAGUCCAAUUAUAAGAAGGACAAGACCAAUUCAAGAGUUAUAUGAUGUGACUCGAAGGAUUGAUACUAACAAUGAUGAACUUUCUUUAUUUUGUCUUUUUGCAAGAUAUGAUCCAUUAACCUUCGAAGAAGCUUAUAGAGAUAAAAAAUGGCGACAAGCUAUGAAUGAAGAGACUCAUGUCAUUAACAAAAAUAAUACAUGGGAGCUUACUACACUUCCAGAAGACCACCAAGCUAUCGGUGUUAAGUGGAUCUUCAAAACAAAAAGAAAAACAAAAGGAGAGGCGGAGAAAUACAAGGCUAGAUUGGUUACGAAGGGAUAUAAACAACAAUAUGGGAUUGAUUAUGAAGAAGUAUUUGCGCCAGUUGCUUGAUUGGAGACAGUAAGAUUAUUUAUCUCUCUAGCAGCUCAAAUGAAAUGAAAAAUUUUACAAAUGGAUGUCAAAUCAACAUUUCUUAAUGGAGUUCUUAAAGAAGAAGUAUAUAUAUUCAACAACCCCUGGUUUUAUUAUUCAUGAAUAAGAAGACAAAGUAUACAAGUUAAAGAGAGCUCUUUUUGGGCUUGAACAAGCCCCACGAGCAUGGAAUUCUCGAAUAUAUGCUUAUUUUAUUCAAAAUAUUUUUUCUAAAUGUUCACAUGAACAUGCUCUCUAUACAAAAUCUAACUCUAAUGGAGAUAUCUUGUUUGUAUGCCUGUAUAUAGAUGAUUUAAUAUUUACAGGCAAUAGUAGCUCUAUGAUUAAAGAUUUUAAGCAUUUUAUGAAAAAGGAGUUUGAGAUGACCGACUUGGGCAUAAUGACUUAUUUCCUUGGUAUUGAAGUUAUACAAGAUAAUGGAGGAAUUUUUAUCUCACAAGAAAAUUAUGCAAAGGAGAUUUGAAAGAAGUUUUCUAUGGAAGAUUGUCAUCCUACAGAUACACCUGUUGAAUAUGGCACUAAGUUGACUAAGGAAGGUGAAGGUAAAUACAUUAAUCCAACUUAUUAUAAAAGUCUAGUUGGAUGUUUAAGGUAUUUGACAUGCACUCGACCUGAUAUACUAUUUGGAAUUGAUUUAAUAAGUAGAUAUAUAGAAGUUCCUAAGACAUCUCAUUUAAAUAUAGCUAAAAGAAUUUUACGAUAUAUUAAAAGAAUAAUUGAGUAUAGAAUGUUCUAUUUAUUAUCUAAAAGGUUAGAGCUUAUUGGAUAUAGUGACAGUGAUUGGACCGGAAGCUACGAUGAUCGGAAGAGUACAACUGGAUUUGUAUUUUAUUUUGGUGAAGCUAUAUUCACUUGGUCUCCACGCCGGCAGCUGCCCCUCGGUCUAGCAGUGGCCCAAGGUGUGUUGCCAAGGUGUUCGUUAUCGGUCUUGCUGUGUUUUCCUUUGCUGCAGUGUCUGUCUGGUGGCCUUGUUAGGCAGUAGUUGUAGUAGCGGUGGGUGCCAAUGUGAGGAACAAUCAAGAAAGAAAUGUUCAUCUUAACGGGGCUGAUGUGGUAAAUCUUGCUCUGUAAUUAGAAUAAUGACUUAAGUUGGUAAUGUCAAAUUUUCUCCUACUGAAUGCUGGUUGGUAAUCUUGACGUAGAAUAUGAGAUAAGAGUGUUUAGUCAUAAUGAUAGCGUCCAACACACACACCCGAGAGAGAGAGAGAGAGAGAGAGAGAGAGAGAGGGGGCAGCUGUGGGAAUAUAAACGUACAACGCGAACGCAGUGUUCACCUGAAUACGAUGAAGAUGUCACAAGGCAAUUCUAAUCAUCCCGCCACAGCGGUUCUUCCGGCCGUUCCACCGCCACUCCACCUGUAGAGGUCGCGGUGAUGGUGCCUGCAACGGAAGGAUCGGGGAUGGUCCGUCGGAGAGCAGAUGCACCGCUUCGCCGACAGAGGCCGCGACGAAGCCGCCUCCGUUGCUGCCGUCGGCGGCGUAUGGCCCCGCUGCCGCCCCACGGCGUAGCUGCAGGAAACCAGGGGAUGACACAUACCUCGCUGCCGGUGGCGGUGCACGAGAAGGAGAAAGAGAGAGAAUGGAAGUUGUGG
rnacentral:lncRNA from 1 species